rnacentral:lncRNA from 1 species
GCAGUUGCUACUUAAAUGAUGGAAUGGUGGAAAUGUGGGCAAAAGGUCUUGAUGUCUGAAGAGGCCACAUAAAAACAGAACCCAGCGUUAGGAGAAGCUGAGUUGGAAUGAGCAGGUAACCAUGCAGGAAUAUCUUAUAUAUACACUUUAGUUUCCUUCCUAGCAUCUCUCGGAAUGGCUGAAAAUAUGACACUUGACAGUCCUUUGUACCGGACCCAUCUACGUGGCUCCCCUGGUAAAAAAUCCUGAGUUGUAAUUUAUGGCAAACAUUUCUUCAAGCUCCUGCUCUUGGAAUGGAAUACAUGAAUGUGAAUUCCACCAAAGAUAGUAAUGAAUUUCAUCUUACAGCUCAGGAAAGUCGAGGCUAAAGUGGAUUUUGCUGAGAGUUUGUCAAGUUAGAGGGGCCAGCGCUGGCUCAGUUCUCCGCCUGGACACAUUUUCUCUUCCUGUGGUCCAACCUCCCAGUGUAAGUGCGAUCCCAAGUGGCCUGCCCCUUGAGCAGUCAGGC